UCCAUGUUCCUUUUUACACAU
rnacentral:piRNA from 1 species